UACAGAGGGUGCGAGCGUUAAUCGGAAUUACUGGGCGUAAAGCGUGCGUAGACGGUUAUUUAAGUCGGAUGUGAAAGCCCCGGGCUCAACCUGGGAAUUGCAUUCGAGACUGAAUAGCUAGGGUACGGUUGAGGGAAGCGGAAUUUCCGGUGUAGCGGUGAAAUGCGUAGAUAUCGGAAGGAACAUCAGUGGCGAAAGCGGCUUCCUGGACCAGUACCGACGUUCAGGCACGAAAGCGUGGGGAGCAAACAGG
rnacentral:rRNA from 1 species